rnacentral:rRNA from 1 species
AACAAACGCUGGCGGCGUGUCUUAAGCAUGCAAGUCGAGCGGCAAGGGCAGCAAUGCCCCUAGAGCGGCGGACUGGUGAGUAACGCGUGGGUGAUCUACCUAGGGCAUGGGGGAUAGCCAUUAGAAAUAGUGGGUAAUACCGAAUACGUUCGCAUGGAUGCGUCCAUGCGAGGAAAGGUGCUACGGCACCGGCCUAUGAUGAGCUUGCGUCUGAUUAGCUAGUUGGUGAGGUAAAGGCCCACCAAGGCGAUGAUCGGUAGCCGGCCUGAGAGGGUGUACGGCCACACUGGGACUGAGAUACGGCUCAGACUCCUACGGGAGGCAGCAGCUAAGAAUAUUCCGCAAUGGACGAAAGUCUGACGGAGCGACGCCGCGUGGAUGAUGAAGGCCGAAAGGUUGUAAAGUCCUUUUGCUGGGAAGAAUAAGCGUGGGAGGGAAUGCCCGCGUGAUGACAUGAACCGGCGAAUAAGCCCCGGCUAACUACG